UCCCCUCCCCUCUCCUCUCCUCUCCUCUCCUUUCCUUUCCUGUCUAGCUUUAGUAUUGGUGUGAUACUGGCCUCUUACAAUAAAUUUGGAAGUAUUGGAACUUUGGUUUUGUAAUCUACAUAUUUCAUCACUGUAGUUGUAUCUGCAUUAGGAGGCACCCCAACUUCAGUAAUCCGGUGUCUAGAAAUAUCAUCCAGGAGCUACGGCCCAGAAUGUGGGCCUUGCAACUUUGUUUCAUGCCCAGUCCUAUUGUGGCUGAGCUGGUAUCCAUGUUGUAAGACAGAGUCUUUCUUACUCCCCCUUCUCGUCUCCUUAAACAGAGGGAAAGUGUCUCUCCCAGAGCUGUGAGCUGUGCUGCCUGGCACUGGGGAAGGGGUAGCACAAAUACUCACUUGAACACCCUAGCUGGUGUCUCACUAGGUUGCUUGUCCCCCAAGUCCACUGGCUCCAAGCAUCAUGGCUUUCCCAGGAAGUGCAGUCCUUGU
rnacentral:lncRNA from 1 species